CUUCCCACUUUAAGCCUGUACUGAACAUCAAAGUGGGUUUAAGCAUAAAUACCAAUGUCACGUGGUCUGAAUGUGUGUCUGCGUGACAUAUACUUGGAGUCUCCUGCUUCCAUAAUGUUAAACGUGUCUAUGUGAAAUCACCUGAAGACACCCUUUUGAGACCACAAAGCAAGUCUCAUGAGAGUAAUGCCGACACCAAUCCAGAUGUUUAUUGAGCAGUUUGUCAGUCAGGGUCUAAUCAGAGCAGAAACUACAUGCAAUACAGAAAGAGAGCGUUUGAACCUUUGCUCCACAAUCAACUUACAUCCUCUAGCUUAGACAAUCUCAUGACCACCUCAUCAGGAAAGGUAUUAAUCCAUGGGUGAAGUUAUAUGACAUAGGGAUUUGCUUUGAAAUAAUAAAAAUUACAAAGAUAGGUGAAAUAAUAUUGGAAAAUUUUUGGUAAUUCAUGAAAUCUGAAGCAAUUGUUACAUAAGAAUGGAUGCAGUGGAACA